rnacentral:lncRNA from 1 species
GUGAGCAGCUAGGUCCUCCUAGGCCUCGGGCCCUCCUCUUCCCUGUGGGGACCGGCUCAGUCGUCAGAUGUCUGCAGGGCACUGCUGUUGGGGGUGGAGCUCGGCGUGGAUGCCCGGUCUGGCCCUGGCCUCGUGGGCCUCAGAAGUGACAAGAAUGCGAUGACUAGUGACAUGCGAUGAGGGCUGGGGUCGCCCAGAGUGCUGGGCCACGAAGUAGCGACCUCCGGGCAGGUGUGGGGCCCCUGGCGAGCCCCGGAGGCCGGCAGGUGAGCCCCAGAGCCCAGUCCACAGCCAGGGGCUCCUGUAGAACCCCCUUGGUGCCCUGAUUUCACUCCAAACAAAGGGGCUGCAGAGCAUGGAGAAGGGGAGGCCUGGGGUCGUCCUUGUGUCCCAGGGCUGUGCUGGGAGAGGAGAGGCGGGGUGCUGGCAUCCCCUGAAAUCUGCGUGCUGCCUAGGGGGUGGCUCCUGCCAGGAGACGAGGGCGUGCACUGGGCAGAAUGGUUGCUGGAGAGGCCAGGCCCAUGGUGACCCAGUGACAGGCCCAGAGAUGCAGCCGGUGUCACAGCUAGGGCUACCAGGGGCUCUGGCCUGGGCCUUGCAGCAUCUGGGCUCCCUGAGGCCUUAGUCCUGCUCGGCAAGCUAGAGGACCAGAAGCAGGAGCAGCAGGCGGCCCCACUGGGCUCCCGGCCAAAAUUUGCCGCUGCCCCCGGUUACAGUGCCGCCCUCCCUGCCUGGCCGAGCCCCAGCGCCGCUCAGCCCCACCUGCAGCUUCCAGGCUGUGCCCUCAGCUGCAGGAGGCCUCGCUUGCCCGUCCAGAUGGCAACAAGGUCCCGGCACAGCCUCGAGCCCUGCUGUUCCGGAUGCUGGGCCCCUGAGAAGGCAGGAGCUGGGCAGAGCACUAGGGUCUUGAGCCCCCAGCUGGCCGAGUGCCCAGGCUCCCAUCUGUGGGGCCUUCACCGCUCACGCGGGGCCUCCCUCUCUCCCGCUGCUGCAGCCAGAUCCACAGCGACACCAGGGCCCUGCGGGCCGGGACAGCACCCACCUCCUCCUGCUCUGUGCUCCGAGCUCCUGCAGCUGCGGGCACCUGGCCCGUCACUCAGGGAGUGUUUCCUGGAAGAAACUGCAGCCCAGAGAGGGCGGGUCCUAUACCCAAGGCUGCACAGCGGCUCUGCCAAGGCCUGAAACCUGUUGGGCCUCACGCUCCCAGAUCUGCCUGAGCAGUUUGCCCCUCCUGACAUGGCGCCCCCUAUCCUGGCGAGGCUGGUGGAGGCCAUAGAGCAGACAGGGCUGGACACCGAGUCCCACUGCAGGCCGGAGCUACCCGCGGCUGCGCACAGGUGAGGGGGGCCUCUGGGUGGGGCGGCGGCCGGGGGCACCGCGCACAGCUGUCACAUGUCCCCACCCCGCGCAGACUGGUCGCUGAGCGACCUGGACCAGUGGGACGCCGGCGCUCUGUCCGACGCCAUCAAGGGCUUCCUGCUGGCCUUGCCUGCCCCGCUUGUGACUCCUGAGGCGGCGGCCGAGGCGCACCGGGCCCUGCGGGGCGCCACGGGGCCCGUGGGCCCAGCACUGGAACCCCCGACGCUGCCGCUGCACCGCGC